ensembl:lncRNA
GUGUGUGUGUGUGUGUGUGUGUGUGUGUGUGUGUGUGUGUGUGUAUGUGUGCGUGUAUAUGUGUGUUGUGUUAGUAUGGUUGUCAUUACCAACAAGAGGAAAAUACUGCAGCAGCAACCAACUAACACAAGGAUGAAGAUGCUAUGUCUAAAGACUUGCCCAUCAACGAGUCUCCAGCGGACCCAGAGGGCGAUGAUGCUGCAGAGAAGGGUGAGGUUCCCAUGACUUCACAGUAAUGUUUUUGGGUUUCAUCCACCAUCAUCACCCUCCGUCUAUGGAGGAUUCCGAUGGCUAUUAGAGUACAUGGCAUUAUGUCACAACGAGCAUUAUCCAGAACUACUGUAACCAUCCAGAAUCAAUGAUUAAAACAUUCCAUGUCGCACUGCCAAGUCCCGUCGUGCCUCGUUUUGGUCCUCAAUGGAGUCUGUGCUGUGUGUGUGUGUGUGUGACGAUAUGUAUGUAUGUAUAGCCUACGUCAGUGUGUGUGAGAGUGUGUAUGUUUGUUUCUGUACGUCAGUGAGUGUGUGUACUUCAGUGUGUGUGUUCUGGUGUCUUCGUCAGUCAGUCCUGAGGGCGGUCUAUAUGCCCUUCUGGUCCAGCUGUCACCUUCAGUGAAAAGCUGUUAGUGAAUAUUGUAUACAGUAUACUCUGCUAAUAGUGAAUACUGUAUACAGUAUACUCUGC